GUGGGGAAUAUUGGACAAUGGGCGAAAGCCUGAUCCAGCCAUGCCGCGUGUGUGAAGAAGGUCUUCGGAUUGUAAAGCACUUUAAGUUGGGAGGAAGGGCAGUAAGUUAAUACCUUGCUGUUUUGACGUUACCAACAGAAUAAGCACCGGCUAACUUCGUGCCAGCAGCCGCGGUAAUACGAAGGGUGCAAGCGUUAAUCGGAAUUACUGGGCGUAAAGCGCGCGUAGGUGGUUCAGCAAGUUGAAGGUGAAAUCCCCGGGCUCAACCUGGGAACUGCCUCCAAAACUACUGGGCUAGAGUACGGUAGAGGGUAGUGGAAUUUCCUGUGUAGCGGUGAAAUGCGUAGAUAUAGGAAGGAACACCAGUGGCGAAGGCGACUACCUGGACUGAUACUGACACUGAGGUGCGAAAGCGUGGGGAGCAAACAGGAUUAGAUACCCCGGUAGUCC
rnacentral:rRNA from 1 species